AUUGAACGCUGGCGGCAGGCCUAACACAUGCAAGUAGAGCGAGCGGCGGACGGGUGAGUAAUGUAUGGGGACUGCCCGGUGGAGGGGGAUAACUAAUGGACAAGGUAGCUACUCACGCGUACUAUCGGAUAACCAAUGUUGGAUUAGCUAGUCGGUGAGGUAAUGGCUCAGCUAGGCGACGAUCCCUAGCUGGUCUGAGAGGAGUAUCAGCCAAACUGGAACUGAGACACGGCCCAGACUCCUACGGAGGCAGCAGUGGGGAAUAUUGCACAAUGGGCGCAAGCCUGAUGCAGCCAUGCCGCGUGUAUGAAGAAGGCCCUAGGGUUGUAAAGUACUUUCAGUCGGGAGGCGUUACCGACAGAAGAAGCACCGGCUAACUCCGUGCCAGCCGACGCGGUAAUAC
rnacentral:rRNA from 1 species